GUCCUUUUCCACAGGAGUUCGAUCGGGAGAGCGCUUCCUGAGCGGCACGGAGCGGAGCGAUUGGUUUUUCUGGAGUGAAGGGUUGCCGGCGAAAGGUGGCGGCGGCGGCCGCCCAAAUCCGCGCCGCGCAGCUUCUCGCCGAGUUCGACUGGUUCGGGGAUGCGGGCGGUUGGGGCGGACGCGCAUCUCUACGACGACCUGGACGCCGUCGCCAUCCCGACGCUCCUCGACUCCCGCAUCGACGGCGAGAAGGUCGACGCUCAAGCGCCUCCUCGCCCUCAUCUCGCGGGGCUUCUACGUCGCCCACCGGGCAGUCAAGAUUCAAGAACGUGUCGACAUAGUCGCUUGGGAUGAAGAAGCUCGUCUACCUCUACCUGCUCCACCAUGCCGAGAAAACAGGAGGUCUGAUGACAUUCAAUUAAGGAAGCAAGAUCAGUUUUGCAUUCUCUGAAAACUGCACUGUAAGACUUACAUUAACCUCUGCGGUGGUAAGCACACACAAGCGGAUCAACAAUACAGCUACCAAGUAGCAAAUCUGGAGAAGUUUUAGUGCUUCUGGUCUGUAGACCAUAUUUCAAGUAACGGUGACAUUAUAUGUCUGCAGCAAAACUUAACAUCCUAGUAGAAUUCAAUGUCCGAAGUAUCCCAAUAUAUUGAUAUCCAUACCAUUCCAAAAUAUGCAGAGCACACAUAGUUCCAUUCCUAAUCAACAUAUGAACAUUUAUUUUA